UGUAGUGAGUUUAUUUUUAUUGCCCACUAUCUAUUGGCCCAGUAAAAAGAAGUGCAGAUCUCUGAGCACAGGUCCCAUAUGUUGACACGGUCAGUGAUGUGAAAAUAGGUGGCCUGACCACAAAACUGGCAAGAACCAGUUAAAGAGGAACUUAAUGGCUAAAUGUUGAAGAGGAAAACAAUUUGAGUUAAGGUACAAUGAGGGGUUUGAUGUGCAUAGUAAAAAAAAGGGAUGAGUAAGUUGUACUUCAAGGAUUGUGGUUGGAUGAGAGAUAAUGAAGUGCUGGAGGUGGUUGGGUAAAAGGUGAACAGCUAAGAUAAUGUAUAGUUACUCUAUAUAGUAUGUGUCCUACUGGAAAUGCUCUUUCAUAUUCUUUGGACUCUGACUGGUAAUGCAUUACUGACUCCUUGGGAAUUCAGUGUGUGAGCCUCUGUACUUGAACUCUUAAGGGAAAUUUCUCCCACAUCAGUAAUCAUGCUGAGCAUUCAGCACUAACUUCAACUUCUGGAUUAAGUGCAAAGGAAGCCCCACAUUGCAGUUAUCCAGUCUCGAAGCAACCAAUGCAUAAACUAAGGUGGCCCAGCCAGCUCUCUCCCAGUCCAGAAAUGGUCAUAGCUGUUGUCACUGCUGUUUUUCUUAAAAAAAAAAACAUGUGUAGGGGUACUCUCAUUUUCCUACUCAUAUUGAAAUACUGUCCCUCAAUGAGGCCAAACUUAGAUUCACAAAAUGUUUAGGGGCAAGCAUACCCCUGCAUACCCCCAGACUGGCUGUUGCACCAGUCGCAGCUGGUAAGAGGCACUUUUAGCCACUGAGUAGCCAAUUGCUACAUACACCCCAAGUAGCAUGCUAAAUCAUUUCCCAAACCAUGGCUGCUGAGACUCACUUUGAACAUGGGAGCAGCGUAACAUAUUAGAAGACCAAUAUGCUUUGUUUCCUAACUGUAAGAAAGAAAGAAAUCUUUGCUUUGCUUUGAAAUCUGGGCAGGACAGGCUUUUUUCAGGAAAAAAAGCAACAAAAGCAGAGUGUUCACAGAGCUGCUGUGAAAUGUGGGAGGGUAUGUUCUUAAGGAAAUCAGCCCUGAGUGCACACUGGAAGGACAGCUCCUGAAGCUGAGGCUCCAAUACUUUGGCCACCUCAUGAGAAGAGAAGACUCCCUGGAAAAGACCCUGAUGUUGGGAAAGAUUGAGGGCACAAGGAGAAGGGGACGACAGAGGACGAGAUGGUUGGACAGUGUUCUCGAAGCUACAAACAUGAGUUUGACCAAACUGUGGGAGGAAGUGGAAGACAGGAGGGCCUGGCGUGCUCUGGUCCAUGGGGUCACAAAGAGUCGGACACGCCUAAACAACUAAACAACAUGUUAUUAAAUUGCCAUAUGAAUCUGUUAUUGAGUGAGUGAAAUUAUGAGUAUAUCAUACUACUGAGAUUUAUAAUUCUCAUAGUACUGAUAUUUAUAAUUCUGACUACCAGUUUAGUCAUUUCCAGGUCUCAUAGGAGAUGCAGUGGGGGGUUGCAAUGCUCCAAGAUAUACUUUGCUUUAUGCAUUUGGGUCCAGAUCCCAAACCAAGAAUAAUUAUACCCCAUUGGCAGUGAUGGGGCUCAGGGUACUAUUUAGUUCAGGGGGGAUUAAAUACCACUAUUUCUUUCUUUUUUUUUUUUUUUUUUUUUUUUUUUCCCUUUGGAAAAGAAAAUGUGAAAUUAUGUUAAGACGAAUGUUAUAUUGUUUAUUACAUUUAUUUCUAUUGUAAAAUUCAAUAAAUUGCUUUAAAAAAAAAAAAUAAAUACCACUAUUUCAUUUUUGAAAAGUAUCGAAGCUGUUUACAUCAAUGGUAUUAUUGUUGUUCUUAAUUAAAUUUCUAUGCUGCCCUUCAUCUGAAGAUCACAGGGCAGUUUACAAUAUAAUAACACAAAAAGACAUACCAUAAUAACAAAAAAACUCCAUGUAUUAUAAUUUAUUAAAUUUCUAUACACAAAACAAUACAAUAAAAACCACAUUUAAAAGGUAAAAUCAGAAACUAGCUAACUGUUUUGGAAGGAUGUACCUUUAAUUGCCUGAGUAAGUCUGAUGGAAUAGAAAAGUUUUCAGCUGGCGUUUAAAAGUUGAAAAGGGAAGUGCCUGCUGAAAUCUCUAUUGGCAGCUCAUUCCAGAUGACACUAAAGGCCCCUGUUUCUGGUUGAGCCUCACCAACUUUUGGGAUGACCAAUGGUGCUUCUGCAGAUGAUCUCAGUGGUCAAAUUGAGAUAUAAGGGUUGAGAUCUGUGAGGUACCUAAGUUGUUCAGGGUUUGUGAAUUAAUACACAAACUUGAACCUGGCUCAAUUAUUCAUUACCAACUUGUUUUAUUGGUUUGAUUGGGACCUGAGACCAGAAUAUACAUGAUCCAGGAGAUCUGAGAUGGGAUCUCAUAACAUUUAUAGUUUUAAAAACAGCUGGAAGGGGGUGGGUUGGCUUGGGCAGAAGAACAGCAGGGGGAUUUUUAACUCCUUCCCAUGCUGUUUUCUUGAUUAAACUGUUAUUAGCUCCAUUCAUUGAGGAGGAGGUGGUGGUGGUGGUGGUGGGGAGACACCUGUAUUUUGCUUGUCACUUCUCCACCAGUGAGGAUAGUAGCAGCUGCUGCCACGACCACUGGGAUUUGUUAAAUAUACCACUUAAUCAGCAAAACCUUUAAGUGAUUUCUGUAAAAUGCAGAAUUACAGACAAAAUCAAUUGUUAAAAACAAGUUAAUCUAAAAUUUCUCCAAAAUGAAGCCAUUCACUUUAAUAUAUAUGUUAUAAAAAAUAAAAUUACAAUGAGGGCUUUCCCUCAUUGCAAAACACUGAGCUAGAGGAAUUCAGGGGAUCUCCCACCUCCCCACUCUGCAUUUGGAUGAAGAGCGCUAGAACUUAAUUAACCAGUCCUCGUAGAUGCAACGGCUUAACAAAACAAAAUAAUUGCACGACAAAGUCCUUUCUCUGUUGCCUUAUUUCAUGUUUGGUUGCCGUGUGGUUUCUUACUAUACUGGCAACUGUGUUAUUAACUUGCUGAUUCCAGAGAUAAUGGUAUUUAAUUAAACUACUUUGCAGCUUACUACUGUUUGGGGAGCUUGCUAAUUAAUCUUUAUGUAAUUGCUUUGCGAUGGAGUAUAGCAAAAGUAGUUAAAUUAUACAUUCUCCUUCUCACAUUGCAUCUCAUUUUGGAAUAUAAGCACUUGCUAACAAGGAAAGAGGGAAGAGGUCAUGUUUUAACUCUAUUGUAUCUGUCUGAUGCAAGGCUAGCUUCGGGGAUGUUGGCACCCUAGGCAAACUUGCCAGGCAGUUCGGGUCUAUGUACUGGCAAAAGCCCUUCCCACAAUGGCUGGGGAAGUGGGGAAGAUAUGGGGCAGGGGUGCAACAAUCAGGCCUCAGAAUAUCAGCUUGGAAGUGCAGAAGGAUGGCUUUGUGCUUAUUUCAGCAACACAAUCAGAGGUGCCGUUAGGUCAUUUCAGACCCUGGACUUUAUAGACUUAUGGAGGAUGGCAUCUCUAGAUGGUAAGGAGUGCUAUUUAACUUACUGUACACUUUGGAGCCCAAUUCAAAGUGCUGACUUUGACCUAUGAAGCUCAUCGUGGCACAGGUCCUCAAUGUCUUCUGGAACAUCUUGACAAAUAUAUGAACCUACUUGGACCCGUAAAUCUUCAUCUGAGUCCGAGUCCUUCUUCUGAUGGAGGCUUGCAGGAGUGUAAGGGACAGGGUAUUUUCAGCUGUGGUUCCUCAUCUAUGGAAUGCUCUUCUUUGUGAGCCCACCUAGGGCAUCUGAUGACAUUUCUGUGCCUGUUAAGGACUACCUUUACCCCUAGGCUCUUGAUGGAGUGAGCAGAUUUUGUUCUGCUGUUAGCAGAUACAUUAUCAGUAAAACCCGUGCUUUAAAAUACAAUAAAUCCAUCAAUCUCCACAGUAAAGAAUGCAAUUACUAUAGAAGCUUGGUAUUAAUGGCUAGCAGUUGCCCGAGUCAAUAUUUAGCAAUUGCCAAAAACUUAUCAUAAUUGGCACUUCCCUUGUUUCAGAGAGGAGAAGAUACAAACUGGGUGCCACCAUGGAGAAGCCCCUCCCUCAAGUUGUCGGAUGAUAGCUCUCAGCAGGCUAUGGUCCAAGCAAGAGGCCCUCAUCUGGAGAUCUCCACAAACAGUCAGGUCUCUAUGGUAGUCUUUCAGAUAAGCUCAUCCUGAGUUGUUUAGGGCUUUAUAAGUCAACAAUAAAACCUCUCUUUCUGACAUUCUUUUGAAAUAAAAAGGAUUCUAGAGGGAGGUUCAUAUCUUGAUCCAGAAUCUGGGACGGGUCCCUUCAAUUGAUUUCCUUACAGUUUAGAUGAAUGCAGAACAAAAGCAACAUGCUGUUCAAGCCAGCUGAUCAAUCUCAGACAACUAUCAUCUGUUCACACUGCAACUCCAUUAGUUAGCAAGAAAUUAAAUAUUGCUCCCAAGCACUGUAAAAGAAAUGUUUUUUUCUCUCUCUCUCUUCAGGAAUGUCAGUCCAAAUGCUUAUGCAGUGUUGAGAGAUGGGCAACUGCAGAACAGAGGUGUGGUUGGCCCAAGGUCUAGUAUUUAGCUAGUAUUGGCAUUUAGAUGCAUGCUGUCCAGGUG